rnacentral:rRNA from 1 species
AUUGAACGCUGGCGGCAUGCCUUACACAUGCAAGUCGAACGGUAACAGGUCUUCGGAUGCUGACGAGUGGCGAACGGGUGAGCAAUACAUCGGAACGUGCCUAGUAGUGGGGGAUAACUACUCGAAAGAGUGGCUAAUACCGCAUGAGAUCUACGGAUGAAAGCAGGGGAUCGCAAGACCUUGUGCUACUAGAGCGGCCGAUGGCAGAUUAGGUAGUUGGUGGGAUAAAAGCUUACCAAGCCGACGAUCUGUAGCUGGUCUGAGAGGACGAUCAGCCACACUGGGACUGAGACACGGCCCAGACUCCUACGGGAGGCAGCAGUGGAGAAUUUUGGACAAUGGGCGAAAGCCUGAUCCAGCAAUGCCGCGUGCAGGAUGAAGGCCUUCGGGUUGUAAACUGCUUUUGUACGGAACGAAAAGCCCCGGGUUAAUACCCUGGGGUCAUGACGGUACCGUAAGAAUAAGCACCGGCUAACUACGUGCCAGCCGCCGCGGUAA